CAGAGGUUAUUUUAUAUAAAAUAUUAACUUUGGAUGUUAAAGAUGGAAAUUAACUCCCACCUCUGA
rnacentral:tRNA from 1 species